UACGGAGGGGGCGAGCGUUAUUCGGAAUUAUUGGGCGUAAAGGGCGCGUAGGCGGCUUGGCAAGUCAAAGGUGAAAUCCCUCGGCUCAACUGAGGAACUGCCUUUGAAACUGCCUGGCUUGAGGCCGGGAGGGGGUAGCGGAAUUCCCAGUGUAGCGGUGAAAUGCGUAGAUAUUGGGAGGAACACCUAUGGCGAAGGCAGCUCGCUGGGACGUUACUGACGCUGAGACGCGAAAGCGUGGGGAGCAAACAGG
rnacentral:rRNA from 1 species